rnacentral:rRNA from 1 species
UACGUAGGGUGCGAGCGUUAAUCGGAAUUACUGGGCGUAAAGGGCGCGUAGGCGCCUUCUAAGUCGAACGUGAAAUCCCCGGGCUCAACCCGGGAACUGCGUCCGAUACUGGAAGGCUUGAAUCCGGGAGAGGGAUGUGGAAUUCCAGGUGUAGCGGUGAAAUGCGUAGAUAUCUGGAGGAACACCGGUGGCGAAGGCGACAUCCUGGACCGGUAUUGACGCUGAGGCGCGAAAGCCAGGGGAGCAAACGGG